UGGGGAAUAUUGGACAAUGGGCGAAAGCCUGAUCCAGCAAUGCCGCGUGUAUGAUGAAGGCCUGCGGGUUGUAAAGUACUUUCGUUGGGGAAGAAAUGCUCAAAGCUAAUACCUUUGAGAGUUGACGUUACCCAAAGAAGAAGCACCGGCUAACUCUGUGCCAGCAGCCGCGGUAAUACAGAGGGUGCAAGCGUUAAUCGGAGUUACUGGGCGUAAAGGGCGCGUAGGCGGACGCUUAAGUUGGAUGUGAAAUCCCCGGGCUUAACCUGGGAAUUGCAUUCAAUACUGAGUUUCUAGAGUAUGGUAGAGGAAGGCGGAAUUCCCGGUGUAGCGGUGAAAUGCGUAGAUAUCGGGAGGAACAUCAGGGCGAAGGCGGCCUUCUGGACCAAUACUGACGCUG
rnacentral:rRNA from 1 species